rnacentral:rRNA from 1 species
CCUACGGGAGGCUGCAGUGAGGAAUAUUGGUCAAUGGGCGCGAGCCUGAACCAGCCAAGUAGCGUGAAGGAUGACUGCCCUACGGGUUGUAAACUUCUUUUAUAAGGGAAUAAAGUGAGGCACGUGUGCCUUUUUGUCUGUACUUUAUGAUUAAGGAUCGGCUAACUCCGUGCCAGCAGCCGCGGUAAUACGGAGGAUCCGAGCGUUAUCCGGAUUUAUUGGGUUUAAAGGGAGAGUAGGUGGGUAGUUAAGUCAGGUGUUAAAGUUUGGGGCUCAACCGUAAAAUUGCAAUUGAUACUGGCAGUCUUGAGUACAGGAGAGGUAGGCGGAAUUCGUGGUGUAGCGGUGAAAUGCUUAGAUAUCACGAAGAACUCCGAUUGCGAAGGCAGCCUACUAAACUGCCACUGACAUUGAUGCUCGAAAGUGUGGGUAUCAAACAGGAUUAGAUACCCGGGUAGUC